UACGGGGGUGCGAGCGUUGUCCGGAAUCACUGGGCGUAAAGGGCGCGUAGGUGGCGGCCCAAGUCCAUGGUGAAAGCUCGAUGCUCAACAUCGAGUCGGCCACGGAUACUGGGUUGCUCGAGCACUGUAGGGGCAGAUGGAAUCCGGGUGUAGCGGUGGAAUGCGUAGAGAUCCGGAAGAACACCGGUGGCGAAGGCGGUCUGCUGGGCAGUUGCUGACACUGAGGC
rnacentral:rRNA from 1 species